GACAGAGGGGGCAAGCGUUGCUCGGAAUCACUGGGCGUAAAGGGCGCGUAGGCGGGAUGGCAAGUCAGUCGUGAAAUCUCUCGGCUCAACCGAGAAACGUCGGCUGAUACUGCCGUUCUUGAGGGAUGCAGAGGAGACUGGAAUUCCUGGUGUAGCGGUGAAAUGCGCAGAUAUCAGGAGGAACACCGAUGGCGAAGGCAGGUCUCUGGGCCACUACUGACGCUGAGAAGCGAAAGCAUGGGGAGCGAACAGG
rnacentral:rRNA from 1 species